AGGACGAACGCUUGCGGCGUGCCUAAGAAAUGCAAGUCGAACGGUUCAGGGGCUUCGGCCCUUGUUCAGUGGCGAACGGUCGCGUAACACGUAGGCAACCUGCCCUAAAGUGGGGGAUAACAGCCUGAAAGGGCGUGCUAAUACCGCAUGUGGUCAUCUUCUCGCAUGGGGGGGAUGUCCAAAGGCUUCAGCAAUGGAGUCGCUUUGGGAUGGGCUUGCGGCCUAUCAGCUUGUUGGUGGGGUAACGGCCUACCAAGGCGUUGACGGGUAGCUGGUCUGAGAGGACGAUCAGCCGGAUUGGGACUGAGAUACGGCCCAGACUCCUACGGGGGGCAGCAAUUAGGAAUCUUGCGCAAUGGGGGCAACCCUGACGCAGCGACGCCGCGUGCGGGAUGAAGGCAUUCGUGUCGUAAACCGCUUUUGAGUGGGAAGAAGAAUGUGACGGUACCCAUACGAAUUAAGCCCCGGCUAACUCGUGCCAGCAGCCG
rnacentral:rRNA from 1 species